ACCUGGUUGAUCCUGCCAGUAGUCAUAUGCUUGUCUCAAAGCUUAAGCCAUGCAAGUGUAAGUUCAUGCCGUAAACGAAUGGUGAAACCGCGAAUGGCUCAGGAACCGGACCUAAUCCUCGGGACCGUAUUCCUCACCGCGAGGAGAGUGGAUAACUGUGGCAAUUCUAGAGCUAAUACAUGCAACUGAGGCCGCGAUCGCAGGUCGCACCCGGGAGUCGGGUUACAAACGCGCUCAGCGUUCCAUCGCUGUCGUCGUUCCGUCUUCCCGCGCGGUCCCAACAGAUCGCGUCGACACGGUCGGCCUUCGCAUUGGUCGCGGCGCAAAUAUUAGACUGAGACCGACGACGCGUCAGAUGCCGUCAGCGCCGUUCGCAGUUCGCUGCGUGCCGGUUGCGCGGUGUCGCGCAUCAAUUCGACUUUGGUGACUCUGGAUAACUGUCAGUACGAUCGCACGGGCUUAGAAUCGCUUCUGGCCUUCGCGCGACGGGUCCCCCGCGAGUCCGCCCUAUCAACUGUCGACGGCCCGGUAAGUGCCGACCGUGGUGGCAACGGGUAACGGGGAAUCAGGGUUCGAUUCCGGAGAGGGAGCAUGCGAAACGGCUACCACAUCCAAGGAAGGCAGCAGGCGCGCAAAUUACCCACUCCCGGCACGGGGAGGUAGUGACGAAAAAUAACGACGCGGGACUCUGUCGAGGCCCCGCGAUCGGAAUGAGUACACUUCAAAUCCGUUAACGAGGAUCGACCGGAGGGCAAGUCUGGUGCCAGCAGCCGCGGUAAUUCCAGCUCCGGUAGCGUAUAUUAAAAUUGUUGCGUUUGAAAAGCUCGUAGUCGGAAUUCGGGUCUCGAAAGCGCGCUGCGUCGUCAGCGCGUUCGGGGCGACGGCGCCGUUGUCGUUCGCGCGCCGCGCGUCGACUUCGGUCGUCCGUUCGCACUCCCGGCCCUAUUCGCCGGUGCGUGCGCGGUCGGGCCGCAGAGCUCUGCGUGCAUCGCCGCUCGGCGUCACGGUGCGGACGUCGCGUUUUUACCUUCUUGCCUCGCUUCUUGCCGUUCUUCUUGCCUAUUUUCCUUUGCGCGUUCGGGGACGAUGCGACGACGGCGCCUUUGCUUUAUCGCGGGCGUUUUGCCGUUCGCCUCUCGUUUUCGUUGCGGCGCUCCGGUCAGGGUUUGGAGUGWCGUCUCGCUUGGCUAUUCGGUCGGUUCUUACGUCGUCGUGCCGUCACCUCGCCGCGGUCGCGCGUUCACCUCGCGGUUUUGUUUUUCUCUCCCUGCGCGCGCUUGCCUUUUUCUUUUCGAAAGGAGAGGUUCGUCGUCGCCAGGGUUGGAUACGACGGCGUGAUCGGUUUCGUCGUCGCGUCGGUCUCGGCGCGUCGCUUUCCUGCGGCCGCCGUUUUGUCGUCGCGCGCGUCGUUCCGUUUCGCCGCCGAUCCGCACGGUUCCUCCGAGGGUGCUCUUUACCGAGUGUCCGMGGCGGCCGGUACGUUCACUGUGAAAAAAUUAGAGUGCUCAGAGCGAGCCGCACCGGCUUGCAUACGAAAAGCAUGGAAUGAUGGAAAAUGGCCUCGUCCGCGCGUCAUCCGUCGGUCUCCGUUCACGACGAGGCAAUGAUCGAAGGGAGCGAUCGGGGCCACUCGUAUUGCGACGUUAGAGGUGAAAUUCUUGGAUCGUCGCAAGACGCACUGCAGCGACGGCGUGUGGCAAGCACGUUUUCCUCGAUCAAGAGCGAAAGUCGGAGGUUCGAAGACGAUCAGAUACCGUCGUAGUUCCGACCGUAAACGAUGCCGACUGGCGCUCCGCCGGCGUUCGCUUCGAUGACCCGGCGGGGAGCCUGCGCGGGAAACCAUAGUCGGUUCCGGGGGGAGUAUGGUUGCAAAACAGAAACUUAAAGGAAUUGACGGAAGGGCACCACCAGGAGUGGAGCCUGCGGCUUAAUUUGACUCAACACGGGAAAACUCACCCGGUCCGGACACCGGUAGGAUUGACAGAUCGAUAGCUCUUUCUCGAUUCGGUGGGUGGUGGUGCAUGGCCGUUCUUAGUUGGUGGAGCGAUCCGUCUGGUUGAUUCCGAUAACGAACGAGACUCCGGCCUGCUAACUAGCGCGUCGAUUAGUGCUUUUCCGGUAGCGUGGCGGCGCCGAAGCCGUCGUCGGUAAGCUGUCCUGCGUUCGGUUUUUUUCCCUUUUUCUUCGAGCUCGGGCUUCCGUUGCCGUUGCCGUCGUCGUCGCGUCGUCGUCGUCUUCUUCUUUCGCGAGUUCGCUUGCGGAAUGGAGGAAUGAAGGCAGCGCUGGCGGAGGCGGCGGUCGGUUUUUCGGGCUCGGGAGGGGGGGACCGGCGCGAACAGCCCCGGCGUCGGCACGUCGUCGCGUCCGGGCCAGUCGGUUGGCGAACGCAGCGCUUCUUAGAGGGACGGGCGGCAGAAAGCCGCACGAGGCGGAGCGAUAACAGGUCUGUGAUGCCCUUAGAUGUCCGGGGCCGCACGCGCGCUACACUGGAGGUAUCAGCGGGCGCCACUCCCCCGGCCCGAGAGGGUCGGGAAACCUCUGAACCACCUCCCGUGAUAGGGAUCGGGGCCUGGAACCAACCCCGUGAACGAGGAAUUCCCGGUAGGCGCGGGUCAUCAGCCCGCGUCGAUCACGUCCCUGCCCUUUGUACACACCGCCCGUCGCUACUACCGAUCGAACGGUCCGGUGAGGUCCUCGGAUCUGGCCGACGAGUUCGCAGGCCGUGCGGCGGCGUUUCGAUUCGGCCGUCAGGUCGGUUCGUUGCCGUCGUCGGUGCGCUCUCUGAUGGCCCGGAGAAGACGACCGAACCCGAUCGCUUAGAGGAAGUAAAAGUCGUAACAAGGUUUCCGUAGGUGAACCUGCGGAAGGAUCAUUA
rnacentral:rRNA from 1 species